UACGGGGGGAGCAAGCGUUGUUCGGAUUUACUGGGCGUAAAGGGCGCGUAGGCGGUCAGCACAAGUCAGUUGUGAAAUCUCCGGGCUUAACUCGGAAAGGUCAACUGAUACUGUGCGACUAGAGUGCAGAAGGGGCAACUGGAAUUCUCGGUGUAGCGGUGAAAUGCGCAGAUAUCAGGAGGAACACCGGUGGCGAAGGCGGCUCUCUGGGACGGUACUGACGCUGAGACGCGAAAGCGUGGGGAGCGAACGGG
rnacentral:rRNA from 1 species